UACGAAGGGUGCAAGCGUUACUCGGAAUUACUGGGCGUAAAGCGUGCGUAGGUGGUUCGUUAAGUCUGAUGUGAAAGCCCUGGGCUCAACCUGGGAAUGGCAUUGGAUACUGGCGACCUAGAGUGCGGUAGAGGGGUGUGGAAUUCCCGGUGUAGCAGUGAAAUGCGCAGAUAUCGGGAGGAACAUCAGUGGCGAAGGCGGCCUUCUGGUCCAGUACUGACACUCAAGUGCGAAAGCGUGGGGAGCGAACAGG
rnacentral:rRNA from 1 species